GAUGAAUGCUGGCGGCGUGCCUAAUACAUGCAAGUCGAGCGAACAGACGAGGAGCUUGCUCCUCUAACGUUAGCGGCGGACGGGUGAGUAACACGUGGAUAACCUACAUAUAAGACUGGGAUAACUUCGGGAAACCGGAGCUAAUACCGGAUAAUAUAUUGAACCGCAUGGUUCAAUAGUGAAAGACGGUUUUGCUGUCACUUAUAGAUGGAUCCGCGCCGCAUUAGCUAGUUGGUAAGGUAACAGCUUACCAAGGCAACGAUGCGUAGCCGACCUGAGAGGGUGAUCGGCCACACUGGAACUGAGACACGGUCCAGACUCCUACGGGAGGCAGCAGUAGGGAAUCUUCCGCAAUGGGCGAAAGCCUGACGGAGCAACGCCGCGUGAGUGAUGAAGGUCUUCGGAUCGUAAAACUCUGUUAUUAGGGAAGAACAAAUGUGUAAGUAACUAUGCACGUCUUGACGGUACCUAAUCAGAAAGCCACGGCUAACUACGUG
rnacentral:rRNA from 1 species